GGAUUUAAAUAGUGGCGAGAAGACCCAACGAUGGGCGACCAUGCCAACCCGCUAUAACACCUGAAAGGGCUCAUAAAAAUGACGUAAGAACUUUAAUUUGCAGCUGCCGACCAAAGAUAACUAUGUGUAAGGUUGUAACUAAAGAUUGUGGUGAAGGAGAUGGAGGAUUUGCUCCCUAGACUUUAGUGCAGAAUCUACUGUUUCCAUUGAUGAAGUGCCCAGUAUGUAUGAUAUCAAGCAAGGUGAGGAAUACCCAUAAAGGGCUUCAAAGGGUGUCAUGCGAGUUGAGGCAUGUUAGGUGUUAUUAUACCACCAAUCAGCAAUAGGAAUCCAAUGAGUCUAAUCUUGUGGUUUGUCCCAACAAAACACCUCAAAUAAUUUUCUCAACACUUGUUUACAACUUCAUAUUGCUCGUCUAUUUGCAAGUGGUUGGUUUUGCUAAAUGCUAAUUGUACUUCCUA